rnacentral:rRNA from 1 species
AUGCACGCUGGCGGCGUGCCUCAUACCUGCAAGUCGCGCGAACGGACGAGAAGCUUGCUUCUCUGAUGUUAGCGGCGGACGGGUGAGUAACACGUGGAUAACCUACCUAUAAGACUGGGAUAACUUCGGGAAACCGUAGCUAAUACCGGAUAAUAUUUUGAACCGCAUGGUUCAAAAGUGAAAGACGGUCUUGCUGUCACUUAUAGAUGGAUCCGCGCUGCAUUAGCUAGUUGGUAAGGUAACGGCUUACCAAGGCAACGAUGCAUAGCCGACCUGAGAGGGUGAUCGGCCACACUGGAACUGAGACACGGUCCAGACUCCUACGGGAGGCAGCAGUAGGGAAUCUUCCGCAAUGGGCGAAAGCCUGACGGAGCAACGCCGCGUGAGUGAUGAAGGUCUUCGGAUCGUAAAACUCUGUUAUUAGGGAAGAACAUAUGUGUAAGUAACUGUGCACAUCUUGACGGUACCUAAUCAGAAAGCCACGGCUAACUACGUG